rnacentral:rRNA from 1 species
UACGGAAGGGGCAAGCGUUGUUCGGAAUCAUUGGGCGUAAAGGGCGCGUAGGUGGUUCUGUAUGUCUACCGUGAAAGCGUACGGCUCAACCGUAUUUUGUCGGUGGAAACUGCAGGACUUGAGGCUGGGAGGGCUGGUGGAAUUCCCUGUGUAGCGGUGAAAUGCGUAGAGAUGGGGAGAACACUCGUGGCGAAGGCGGCCAGCUAGACCAGUUCUGACACUGAGGCGCGACGAGCGUGGGAGCAAACAGG